rnacentral:rRNA from 1 species
CUUCUCUGAUGUUAGCGGCGGACGGGUGAGUAACACGUGGAUAACCUACCUAUAAGACUGGGAUAACUUCGGGAAACCGGAGCUAAUACCGGAUAAUAUUUUGAACCGCAUGGUUCAAAAGUGAAAGACGGUCUUGCUGUCACCUAUAGAUGGAUCCGCGCUGCAUUAGCUAGUUGGUAAGGUAACGGCUUACCAAGGCAACGAUGCAUAGCCGACCUGAGAGGGUGAUCGGCCACACUGGAACUGAGACACGGUCCAGACUCCUACGGGAGGCAGCAGUAGGGAAUCUUCCGCAAUGGGCGAAAGCCUGACGGAGCAACGCCGCGUGAGUGAUGAAGGUCUUCGGAUCGUAAAACUCUGUUAUUAGGGAAGAACAUAUGUGUAAGUAACUGUGCACAUCUUGACGGUACCUAAUCAGAAAGCCACGGCUAACUACGUGCCAGCAGCCGCGGUAAUACGUAGGUGGCAAGCGUUAUCCGGAAUUAUUGGGCGUAAAGCGCGCGUAGGCGGUUUUUUAAGUCUGAUGUGAAAGCCCACGGCUCAACCGUGGAGGGUCACUGGAAACUGGAAAACUUGAGUGCAGAAGAGGAAAGUGGAAUUCCAUGUGUAGCGGUGAAAUGCGCAGAGAUAUGGAGGAACACCGGUGGCGAAGGCGACUUUCUGGUCUGUAACUGACGCUGAUGUGCGAAAGCGUGGGGAUCAAACAGGAUUAGAUACCCUGGUAGUCCACGCCGUAAACGAUGAGUGCUAAGUGUUAGGGGGUUUCCGCCCCUUAGUGCUGCAGCUAACGCAUUAAGCACUCCGCCUGGGGAGUACGACCGCCAAGGUUG